GCCAGAGUGGUGGAACGGUAGACACGCCGGCUUUAGGUGCCGGUGCCCAAGGGCGUGAGGGUUCGAAUCCCUUCUCUGGUA
rnacentral:tRNA from 1 species